rnacentral:rRNA from 1 species
GUAGCAAACAAGAUUAGAUACCUUGGUAGUCUAUUAAGUAAAUUAUAAAUGCUAGAAUUUAAUUAAAUUCAAUUUUUAGUUAGAUUUACAAGUUUACACUAUAAGCAUUUUGCCUAAAAAGUAUAGUUGCAAAACUGAAAUUUAAAGGAAUUGCCGGGAAUUUACUACAAGUGGUGGAGCAUGUGACUUAAUGCGAUAAUCCACGCAAAACCUUACCAAUUUUUGCUAUAAAAUUAA